rnacentral:tRNA from 1 species
GCUGGCUUAGCUCAGUUGGCAGAGCAGCUGAUUUGUAAUCAGCAGGUCGUCGGUUCGAGUCCGACAGCCAGCU